GAUGAACGCUGGCGGCGUGCCUAAUACAUGCAAGUCGAGCGAACGGACGAGAAGCUUGCUUUUCUGAUGUUAGCGGCGGACGGGUGAGUAACACGUGGAUAACCUACCUAUAAGACUGGGAUAACUUCGGGAAACCGGAGCUAAUACCGGAUAAUAUUUUGAACCGCAUGGUUCAAAAGUGAAAGACGGUCUUGCUGUCACUUAUAGAUGGAUCCGCGCUGCAUUAGCUAGUUGGUAAGGUAACGGCUUACCAAGGCAACGAUGCAUAGCCGACCUGAGAGGGUGAUCGCCCACACUGGAACUGAGACACGGUCCAGACUCCUACGGGAGGAAGCGGUAGGGAAUCUUACGCAAUGGGCGAAAGGCUGACGGAGCAACACGGCGUGAGUGAUGAAGGUCUUCGGAUCGGAAAACUCUGUUAUUAGGGAAGAACAUAUGUGUAAGUAACUGUGCACAUCUUGACGGUACCUAAUCAGAAAGCCACGGCUAACUACGUG
rnacentral:rRNA from 1 species